rnacentral:rRNA from 1 species
AACGAACGCUGGCGGCAUGCCUAACACAUGCAAGUCGAACGAGACCUUCGGGUCUAGUGGCGCACGGGUGCGUAACGCGUGGGAACCUGCCUUUAGGUUCGGAAUAACUCAGAGAAAUUUGAGCUAAUACCGGAUAAUGUCUUCGGACCAAAGAUUUAUCGCCUUUAGAUGGGCCCGCGUAAGAUUAGCUAGUUGGUGGGGUAAAGCCUACCAAGGCGACGAUCUUUAGCUGGUCUGAGAGGAUGAUCAGCCACACUGGGACUGAGACACGGCCCAGACUCCUACGGGAGGCAGCAGUUGGGAAUCUUGGACAAUGGGGGAAACCCUGAUCCAGCCAUGCCGCGUGAGUGAUGAAGGCCUUCGGGUUGUAAAACUCUUUCGCGCACGACGAUAAUGACGGUAGUGCGAGAAGAAGCUCCGGCUAACUUCGUGCCAGCAGCCGCGGUAAU